rnacentral:lncRNA from 1 species
UCCUUGUCUUUGAACAGAGCCAGUUCUCUGCCUGCCUUCUCCUCCAAGCCUCAGAGGAGGCACCUCUGGAGUAAUUGGCUGUGAGGGCUUGGCACCUAUCUGUUGAGAAAUAAUAUUUGUCAAAGGGCUCUGGGGUGGUGGUGUGAGGCGUUUAUUAGUGAUCUAAGGCAACAGAAGUUGCCUCUGGUGCUUAUUGACUGUUUCUUGCUGGAGGUGCAGAAAUACACAGGCACGAAAGGGUGAGUUACUGUGGUGGCUGUUCUCUAGACCAGCAGGGACUUGGCAAGCUCUUGGAGGACAGAGUGUCUUGCAUCAAUCAACACUGACCCCUCUGGCUGAAUAUGUACAGGCAUAAAGAGCCUCCUAAAUUAGCCUCUGUUCUCCUUAGCGGGAUGGAUGGAGGAUGAAAAGCAAUUCCUGGAGGAAGAGAAAAUGUGUGUGAUGGUGAAUUGAGCUAUGUUUUAAAACCCAGGCCAUCUCUUUCUGCCCAAAAGAGGUCUGAAAUGUCUUCAUUUUCCAAGGGCCUAUUAAAGAGUGGACAGGGCCUCAUGGGAUGCCUGUUGGGCUCAGCCUCUCCAGACCUCUCUCUUUGAGACCAAAGGAUGAGAAACACCUGACAAGAGUUUUCCUACUUCUGCUCAGAUCUGUUCCAAUGAAAGUCUCUGAGAAUGAGUAGUAAAAUUAAUAUUUUU